AGCCUUCUUUGCCGACCCAAAGGCCACAGUGCCUUUUCUUUUGUGAACCUUGAGGCCCCUGGCAAGCAUCCAUGCUGCUUCGAUGUCCAUUCCUAAAAAAAAAAAAGAGAGAGAAAAAGAGAUCAGCAACGGAGUGAGAAAAAGAAGAGGUGAUGCAUGGUAAAAAAAAAGGGGGGGAGAGAAGAAGAAAAGAAGAAGGAAAGGAAAGAUGGAAUACUCGCAGGAUCCAGGAGACUCAAGCCGAUGUUG
rnacentral:lncRNA from 1 species